UCCUGGGUAGCUCAGCGGCAGAGCAACUCGCUGUUAACGAGUGGGUCGUGGGUUCGAUCCCCACCCCCGGAG
rnacentral:tRNA from 1 species